UACGGAGGGUGCAAGCGUUAUCCGGAUUCACUGGGUUUAAAGGGUGCGUAGGCGGGUAUAUAAGUCAGUGGUGAAAGCUCCGAGCUUAACUUGGAAACUGCCAUUGAUACUGUAUAUCUUGAAUGUCGUAGAGGUUAGCGGAAUGUUGCAUGUAGCGGUGAAAUGCUUAGAUAUGUUACAGAACACCAAUUGCGAAGGCAGCUAACUAUGCGAUAAUUGACGCUGAGGCACGAAGGUCAGGGGAGCAAACGGG
rnacentral:rRNA from 1 species